UACGUACGGUGCGAGCGUUAAUCGGAAUUACUGGGCGUAAAGCGUGCGCAGGCGGUUUUGUAAGCCAGAUGUGAAAUCCCCGGGCUUAACCUGGGAAUGGCAUUUGGGACUGCAAGGCUGGAGUGCGGCAGAGGAGACUGGAAUUCCUGGUGUAGCAGUGAAAUGCGUAGAUAUCAGGAGGAACACCGGUGGCGAAGGCGGGUCUCUGGGCCGAUACUGACGCUGAGGAGCGAAAGCGUGGGGAGCGAACAGG
rnacentral:rRNA from 1 species